GCAAUCUGCGGCUCGCGCACGGCAAUCGCACGGUUUUCCUGAGCCUGCUCGGCAUUUCGUGGCUGUGGUUCGUGGGCGCGACCUUUCUGGCGUCGUUCUUCAAUUUCGCGAAGGACGUGCUG
rfam:Paraburkholderia tropica strain P-31 P31_contig_86, whole genome shotgun sequence.